GUCUCUGAUGAUGAUUAAACAAAUAACUUUCGUUCUUCUGAGUUGAUAAUGCGGAAAUUUCAUGGAGACCUGAACUGAAGAGGC
rfam:Cicer arietinum chromosome Ca6, whole genome shotgun sequence.